AUACGGAGGGUACAAGCGUUAUUCGGAAUCACUGGGCGUAAAGGACGCGUAGGCGGGUUGGCAAGUCAGAUGUGAAAUCCUACAGCUUAACUGUAGAACUGCAUUUGAAACUGCUAACCUAGAGUAUGGGAGGGGAGAUGGAAUUAGUGGUGUAGGGGUAAAAUCCGUAGAUAUCACUAGGAAUACCGAAAGCGAAGGCGAUCUCCUGGAACAUAACUGACGCUAAGGCGUGAAAGCGUGGGGAGCAAACAGGAUUAGAUACCCCUGUAGUCC
rnacentral:rRNA from 1 species